CACGUCUAAAACCUGCAGGACACCGGCCCCCGAGGCCUGGAGUUCGACACCUGUGUUUUAGACCAACGCUUGUGACUGAUUAAAGUUUGUCUGCACAGCAUAAGUUUGUGACCAGAUGGCAGGCUGCUGCUUAACUAUACUGAUGCAUGCGUGACAGAGAGCCGAGCUGGGCCAGGCCCCAGCAAAGAUAAAGUGAGGAUGAAAAUGUCAACAACAUGGCUGCAGCUCUUAGCCUGGAUGAUGAAGUGAUGCACUCGCGAUCGGUGGAGAGCCGCAACGAGGAGAGCGAGGAUUUAAUGGAGGCAGUAAAAGAAAGCAGGGUUUACAGAUGAGCUGAAGAAGACAAAAUAUCCAGAGAACGGUUGUUCUCUAGGUGAAUAUGCUCUGUAUUAUCAGAGGAGAAUUGUUAGACUGCAUUGACCUGACAGGAAGGUAACAGAAACUCAAAUAACUGCUUGUUACAACCAAGACAUGCAGAAGAGCAUCUCUGAACACACAAAUUACUUCCAGCCUUGAAGCAGAAGGGCUGCAGCAGCAGAAGACCGCACGGGUUGCGACUCCUGUUGCUGCCACAUUUGGAUGGUAGAGUAAUUUGAUGUGAAGAACAUAAAAACAUGGAUCCAUCCUGCCUUGUAUCAAUGACUCAGGUUGCUGCUGGUGGUGUAAUGGUGUGGGGGAUAUUUUCUUGGCACACUGAGGGCCUUUUAGUACCAGCUGAGCAUUAUUCAAUUGCCUGAGGCUACACGAGUAUUGUUGCUGACCAUGUCCAUCCCUUUAUAACCACAGUGUAUUCAUCUUCUGAUGGCUGCUUCUAGCUGGGUAAAACAUCAUAUCACAAAGCUCAAGUUUCUUGAAUGUGACAACGAGUUCACUGUGCCCAAAUGGCCUCUACAAUCACUAGAUCUCAAUCCAAUAAAGACCUUUUGCUGUAACAGGAGAUUUGCACCCACCAAAUCUGCAGGAGCUCUGUGAUGCUAUCAUGUCAAUAUGGACCAACACCCUGAGGAAUGCUUCCAGAAGCCUUUUCAGUCAGUCCAUGAAGAAUUAAGGCAGUAAUAGCAAGGCAUAGCUAAUAAAGUGGCUGACAAGUAGAAGUUUAUUCCAUGGAAAAAGACAGUUCUGCUGUUACUGAAUGAUAAAUGUUGCACAAUGAAAAAAACACCCUACAAAUUACACAGUAACAAUGCAAAAGUUCAUUUACCUGACCAUUUUAAUGGUGACAAACUAUAUGAUACAUCUGCUGCAUCGCCCCACUUACCACAUUAAAAAAAGGGUGAAUGGGGGUGAAAUGUCCCAUUAUUUCCAAAAAGUUUAGAAGCAGAUUAGCCUCUGAAUUACAAUCUCCUUUCCUCUCGCUUCUCUAACUCCUUUUGUGCUGAUUGUUACGACACAGCCCUUUGCUCGUUUCAGGUUUCGGUGUGUCAGUAGUAUCAGUAUCUUUGUGUUGUCAAUUUGGCAUUAAAAUGGAAAUCGAUUGCGCCGUGCUGUGAGACCCAAAGCACUUACCAAACACGGAAGACAUUAUUCAGCGAAUAAUUGGCUGCUGCAUUGCCAAGCAGAAUUGUGCCCAAGUGAUUGCUCUGAUUAGCCGAAGAUGACCCUGUGGAUAAUUGAUUUACUUAUUGCAGAAAGAUUAAUGCAAAGAUUAAUUGUCUUGCAAAGUAGAAAGUUCAUCUUAAUGCUGGUGAGAAAUUGUGUCUCUUUUAAAUGUAGCUCUCUUUACUUUUGUGCACUUUAAAGAUAUUUGUAAUUUUAUUUUUUUUAUUUUUUUUUAGUAGAUUUAAUCUUUUAGCCUAAGGUAAUGAAAACAACAAU